rnacentral:tRNA from 1 species
GGUGAUCGUGCUUAAUUGGUAAAGCACCUGUCUCAUACGCAGGGCGAUGUACGUUCGAAUCGUACGAUCACCACCA